CGGUGAUCUAGCCAUGGGCAGGUUGAAGGUUGGGUAACACUAACUGGAGGACCGAACCGACUAAUGUUGAAAAAUUAGCGGAUGACCUGUGGCUGGGGGUGAAAGGCCAAUCAAACCGGGAGAUAGCUGGUUCUCCCCGAAAGCUAUUUAGGUAGCGCCUCGUGAAUUCAUCUCCGGGGGUAGAGCACUGUUUCGGCUAGGGGGCCAUCCCGGCUUACCAACCCGAUGCAAACUGCGAAUACCGGAGAAUGUUAUCACGGGAGACACACGGCGGGUGCUAACGUCCGUCGUGAAGAGGGAAACAACCCAGACCGCCAGCUAAGGUCCCAAAGUCAUGGUUAAGUGGGAAACGAUGUGGGAAGGCCCAGACAGCCAGGAUGUUGGCUUAGAAGCAGCCAUCAUUUAAAGAAAGCGUAAUAGCUCACUGGUCGAGUCGGCCUGCGCGGAAGAUGUAACGGGGCUAAACCAUGCACCGAAGCUGCGGCAGCGACGCUUAUGCGUUGUUGGGUAGGGGAGCGUUCUGUAAGCCUGCGAAGGUGGCCUGUGAGGGUUGCUGGAGGUAUCAGAAGUGCGAAUGCUGACAUAAGUAACGAUAAAGCGGGUGAAAAGCCCGCUCGCCGGAAGACCAAGGGUUCCUGUCCAACGUUAAUCGGGGCAGGGUGAGUCGACCCCUAAGGCGAGGCCGAAAGGCGUAGUCGAUGGGAAACGGGUUAAUAUUCCCGUACUUGGUGUUACUGCGAAGGGGGGACGGAGAAGGCUAUGUUGGCCGGGCGACGGUUGUCCCGGUUUAAGCGUGUAGGUGUGUGUUCCAGGUAAAUCCGGUUCACUUUAACACUGAGGCGUGACGACGAGGCACUACGGUGCUGAAGCAACAAAUGCCCUGCUUCCAGGAAAAGCCUCUAAGCAUCAGGUAACAUCAAAUCGUACCCCAAACCGACACAGGUGGUCAGGUAGAGAAUACCAAGGCGCUUGAGAGAACUCGGGUGAAGGAACUAGGCAAAAUGGUGCCGUAACUUCGGGAGAAGGCACGCUGACACGUAGGUGAAGUGAUUUACUCAUGGAGCUGAAGUCAGUCGAAGAUACCAGCUGGCUGCAACUGUUUAUUAAAAACACAGCACUGUGCAAACACGAAAGUGGACGUAUACGGUGUGACGCCUGCCCGGUGCCGGAAGGUUAAUUGAUGGGGUCAGCGCAAGCGAAGCUCCUGAUCGAAGCCCCGGUAAACGGCGGCCGUAACUAUAACGGUCCUAAGGUAGCGAAAUUCCUUGUCGGGUAAGUUCCGACCUGCACGAAUGGCGUAAUGAUGGCCAGGCUGUCUCCACCCGAGACUCAGUGAAAUUGAACUCGCUGUGAAGAUGCAGUGUACCCGCGGCAAGACGGAAAGACCCCGUGAACCUUUACUAUAGCUUGACACUGAACAUUGAGCCUUGAUGUGUAGGAUAGGUGGGAGGCUUUGAAGUGUGGACGCCAGUCUGCAUGGAGCCGACCUUGAAAUACCACCCUUUAAUGUUUGAUGUUCUAACGUGGACCCGUUACCCGGGUUGCGGACAGUGUCUGGUGGGUAGUUUGACUGGGGCGGUCUCCUCCUAAAGAGUAACGGAGGAGCACGAAGGUUGGCUAAUCCUGGUCGGACAUCAGGAGGUUAGUGCAAUGGCAUAAGCCAGCUUGACUGCGAGCGUGACGGCGCGAGCAGGUGCGAAAGCAGGUCAUAGUGAUCCGGUGGUUCUGAAUGGAAGGGCCAUCGCUCAACGGAUAAAAGGUACUCCGGGGAUAACAGGCUGAUACCGCCCAAGAGUUCAUAUCGACGGCGGUGUUUGGCACCUCGAUGUCGGCUCAUCACAUCCUGGGGCUGAAGUAGGUCCCAAGGGUAUGGCUGUUCGCCAUUUAAAGUGGUACGCGAGCUGGGUUUAGAACGUCGUGAGACAGUUCGGUCCCUAUCUGCCGUGGGCGCUGGAGAACUGAGGGGGGCUGCUCCUAGUACGAGAGGACCGGAGUGGACGCAUCACUGGUGUUCGGGUUGUCAUGCCAAUGGCACUGCCCGGUAGCUAAAUGCGGAAGAGAUAAGUGCUGAAAGCAUCUAAGCACGAAACUUGCCCCGA
rnacentral:rRNA from 1 species